UUGGAGGGCAAGUCUGGUGCCAGCAGCCGCGGUAAUUCCAGCUCCAAUGGCGUAUAUUAAAGUUGUUGCAGUUAAAAAGCUCGUAGUUGAAUUUCGGGAUUGACACAUCGGUCGUGCCUUAAGGGGUAUGAACUGGUGUAGUCAAUUUCUCACCUUCUGGAGAACCGCGCUGUCCUUAAUUGGGUGACGCGGGGAACCAGGACCUUUACUUUGAAAAAAUUAGAGUGUUUAAAGCAGGCAUUUUGCUUGAAUACAUUAGCAUGGAAUAAUAAAAUAGGACGGCAUGAUUCUAUUUUGUUGGUUUCUAGGAUCACCGUAAUGAUUAAUAGGGAUAGUUGGGGGCAUUAGUAUUCAAUUGUCGGAGGUGAAAUUCUUGGAUUUAUUGAAGACUAGCUACUGCGAAAGCAUUUGCCAAGGAUGUUUUCAUUAAUCAAGAACGAAAGUUAGGGGAUCGAAGACGAUCAGAUACCGUCGUAGUCUUAACCAUAAACUAUGCCGACUAGGAAUCAGACGAUGUUAAUUUUUUAAUGACUCAUUCGGCGCCUUACGGGAAAC
rnacentral:rRNA from 1 species